AAAAAUCCGCCAACAAUAGAAUUAUGAGCAACCAUAGGUUCGACAAUAAAAACAAAGGAAAGCUUAUUCGAAUGAUACAAAUCACGAAAAGCAACUCUAAAAUCAUUAUUACCCAUCACCCGAAUAUUCCAAAAAAUAAUAUUCAUUGAGAUGGUGGAUGAGGACCCUAGGAUCGGGUUUGAUAAGCAACCUUGUUAAUUUUCUUCCUGUGAGAUUUCAAUAUAACCUGAAAAAAAGGCACUUCGAUAGCUGCACUCUGUAAUAACCAAGUCUUCAUAAAGUUCAUUUCUUUUUGUAGGGUAGGAUCCAGCGGUGCAUCAGAAGCAGCCAUAAUACCACUAACAUUUGGGACACUUUCUUUGACUGGAGAAAUAAUCGAUUGCUGAUCCGCACAACAAAGGUCAGACCUCACCACUUCAUCCAUGACAUUCGAGAGUUGCAUUGACAAAUCAGUGAUGAGGAGACUUUCACAGUUCUGCGGGAAUGGAUUCAACAUGAGCCGGUGUGUUUGAGCAUUUGUAAUCUUAGUACUAUAGUGAACAUCUCUUGGAAACGAAAGGGAACUACUCUCUCUCUCUCUGAGAUGACAUAUAUAUCUAAUGUUUUAAGGUUUUGGAUGAAAAUGUGGCGUCAAUCUCACUUUCAUGAUUGCUCCCAGUCUAAUAUGAUGAUCUAACUCAAUGUAGGAUCCAUUUAAACAUAAUGAUGAACUAUUUUGUUAUUGUUUG
rnacentral:lncRNA from 1 species